rnacentral:rRNA from 1 species
UGGGGAAUAUUGCGCAAUGGGGGGAACCCUGACGCAGCAACGCCGCGUGAAGGAAGAAGGUCUUCGGAUUGUAAACUUCUUUGAUGAGGGACGAAGUAAGUGACGGUACCUCAAAAACAAGCCACGGCUAACUACGUG